GGAGCGCUUAGAAGUGAGAAUGCCGGUGUGAGUAGCGAAAGACGGGUGAGAAUCCCGUCCACCGAUUGACUAAGGUUUCCAGAGGAAGGCUCGUCCGCUCUGGGUUAGUCGGGUCCUAAGCUGAGGCCGACAGGCGUAGGCGAUGGAUAACAGGUUGAUAUUCCUGUACCACCUAUAAUCGUUUUAAUCGAUGGGGGGACGCAGUAGGAUAGGCGAAGCGUGCGAUUGGAUUGCACGUCUAAGCAGUAAGGCUGAGUAUUAGGCAAAUCCGGUACUCGUUAAGGCUGAGCUGUGAUGGGGAGAAGACAUUGUGUCUUCGAGUCGUUGAUUUCACACUGCCGAGAAAAGCCUCUAGAUAGAAAAUAGGUGCCCGUACCGCAAACCGACACAGGUAGUCAAGAUGAGAAUUCUAAGGUGAGCGAGCGAACUCUCGUUAAGGAACUCGGCAAAAUGACCCCGUAACUUCGGGAGAAGGGGUGCUCUUUAGGGUUAACGCCCAGAAGAGCCGCAGUGAAUAGGCCCAAGCGACUGUUUAUCAAAAACACAGGUCUCUGCUAAACCGUAAGGUGAUGUAUAGGGGCUGACGCCUGCCCGGUGCUGGAAGGUUAAGAGGAGUGGUUAGCUUCUGCGAAGCUACGAAUCGAAGCCCCAGUAAACGGCGGCCGUAACUAUAACGGUCCUAAGGUAGCGAAAUUCCUUGUCGGGUAAGUUCCGACCCGCACGAAAGGCGUAACGAUUUGGGCACUGUCUCAACGAGAGACUCGGUGAAAUCAUAGUACCUGUGAAGAUGCAGGUUACCCGCGACAGGACGGAAAGACCCCGUGGAGCUUUACUGUAGCCUGAUAUUGAAAUUCGGCACAGCUUGUACAGGAUAGGUAGGAGCCUUUGAAACGUGAGCGCUAGCUUACGUGGAGGCGCUGGUGGGAUACUACCCUAGCUGUGUUGGCUUUCUAACCCGCACCACUUAUCGUGGUGGGAGACAGUGUCAGGCGGGCAGUUUGACUGGGGCGGUCGCCUCCUAAAAGGUAACGGAGGCGCUCAAAGGUUCCCUCAGAAUGGUUGGAAAUCAUUCAUAGAGUGUAAAGGCAUAAGGGAGCUUGACUGCGAGACCUACAAGUCGAGCAGGGUCGAAAGACGGACUUAGUGAUCCGGUGGUUCCGCAUGGAAGGGCCAUCGCUCAACGGAUAAAAGCUACCCCGGGGAUAACAGGCUUAUCUCCCCCAAGAGUUCACAUCGACGGGGAGGUUUGGCACCUCGAUGUCGGCUCAUCGCAUCCUGGGGCUGUAGUCGGUCCCAAGGGUUGGGCUGUUCGCCCAUUAAAGCGGUACGCGAGCUGGGUUCAGAACGUCGUGAGACAGUUCGGUCCCUAUCCGUCGUGGGCGUAGGAAAUUUGAGAGGAGCUGUCCUUAGUACGAGAGGACCGGGAUGGACAUACCUCUGGUGUACCAGUUGUCGUGCCAACGGCAUAGCUGGGUAGCUAUGUGUGGACGGGAUAAGUGCUGAAAGCAUCUAAGCAUGAAGCCCCCCUCAAGAUGAGAUUUCCCAACUUCGGUUAUAAGAUCCCUCAAAGAUGAUGAGGUUAAUAGGUUCGAGGUGGAAGCAUGGUGACAUGUGGAGCUGACGAAUACUAAUCGAUCGAAGACUUAAUCAA
rnacentral:rRNA from 1 species